AUGAAUCUCUUCAGCAGCUUCAUCUGGAUUCUGACAGCUUUUCUUCCAGUGGCAUCCAGAGGAAUCAGUGUGACUCAGCCUGAAGCUGUGACUGUUUCUGAAGGAGAAACCGCCACUAUAGAGUGUAAAACUGAUCGAGGAGUAAAUGGCUGGGGUUUGUCUUGGUAUCAGCAGAAACCUGGAGAAACUCCUAAACUCAUCAUUUAUCUGAUAAAAAGUCUUUAUGAUGAGUAUUUCAAUCAGUUCAGUGCAAAUGGAAAAUAUAGUGGGACAGAUUUCACUUUGACUGUCAGUGGAGUCCAGACUGAAGAUGCUGGACUUUAUUACUGUCAGAGUGAAUACAAGAUCAACAACAAGUAUGUGUUCACACAGUGA